rnacentral:rRNA from 1 species
AGUGAACGCUGGCGGUAGGCCUAACACAUGCAAGUCGAACGGCAGCACAGUAAGAGCUUGCUCUUACGGGUGGCGAGUGGCGGACGGGUGAGGAAUACAUCGGAAUCUACUUUUUCGUGGGGGAUAACGUAGGGAAACUUACGCUAAUACCGCAUACGACCUACGGGCGAAAGCAGGGGAUCUUCGGACCUUGCGCGAUUGAAUGAGCCGAUGUCGGAUUAGCUAGUUGGCGGGGUAAAGGCCCACCAAGGCGACGAUCCGUAGCUGGUCUGAGAGGAUGAUCAGCCACACUGGAACUGAGACACGGUCCAGACUCCUACGGGAGGCAGCAGUGGGGAAUAUUGGACAAAGGGCGCAAGCCUGAUCCAGCCAUACCGCGUGGGUGAAGAAGGCCUUCGGGUUGUAAGGCCCUUUUGUUGGGAAAGAAAAGCAGCAGGUUAAUACCCCGCUGUUCUGACGGUACCCAAAGAAUAAGCACCGGCUAACUUCGUG